GCAACCGUAGCUCAGUGGUAGAGCUAUGGGUCCCUGGUUCAAUUCCUGGUACUAGGUUGGG
rnacentral:tRNA from 1 species